GUUCAGGGUCUCCGUUUAUCGUUUCAGCUGUAGGACAACACUCUCUCCUUUCUCCUCAAAGUCGUCUGGGGAUUGAUUUAAACUAGCAAUAAGCAUAUUGGGAGGCAGUAGAAACAUCAAAGAACAGUAAGGAUUACAGCUGUUUUCCAAAGUAUUUAUUCACAGGGUGAGCAUAUCUGAUCCUCUACUUGAUGAGCUGACAGUCGCAUUAAAUGCUGCUUCACGGGUCAGUGGGGCAAGAUGCUGGAGGUUCUUUCAAACCUGUUGGUUAAAUUUGAUUCAAGCUGGCUGGAGGAUUGACACCUCAAAAAUCGUGAGUUCUGUGGUUUUUUGUUUCUCUCUCUCUUUGUUUUUUUUUUUUUUUUAAGACAAAUAUCAUUCCUGAAGCAGCAGGUGCCACAUGAAUUUAGCGUUUGUCUGGUUUGUCCUGUCAGCUGGCUAACUGGUGUGUGAAUGUUAGCUGGUCCACCAGCCCCCACAGCUGGAAACCAGCUCUGUUACAUGCUGCCCCUUGGCUGGCCAGCAGCUGGGCACUAUGAAAGGACCUGACAGUGCAAAGACGCCCACAGGAUAUAGGGAAGUGAAAUCGGCAAGUGGUGCAGGAGAUGAACGCUGAAGCUGUUAAGGAGCUCUAGCUGAAGAAGCUGCAAGGGUUUUGGUGAUGCUAGGAAGGAAAGUGCAUGGGUAUGGGCUAUAAUCAAUGGGU
rnacentral:lncRNA from 1 species